rnacentral:rRNA from 1 species
UGCCAGCAGCCGCGGUAAUACAGAGAGUGCAAGCGUUAAUCGGAAUUACUGGGCGUAAAGCGCGCGUAGGUGGAUAAUUAAGUCGGAUGUGAAAGCCCUGGGCUCAACCUAGGAAUUGCACCCGAAACUGGUUAUCUAGAGUAUGGUAGAGGGAAGUGGAAUUUCCGGUGUAGCGGUGAAAUGCGUAGAUAUCGGAAGGAACAUCAGUGGCGAAGGCGACUUCCUGGACUAAUACUGACACUGAGGUGCGAAAGCGUGGGGAGCAAACAGGAUUAGAUA